GACGAACGCUGGCGGCGUGCUUAACACAUGCAAGUCGAACGAUUAAGCCUUAGCUUGCUUUGGUGGAUUAGUGGCGAACGGGUGAGUAACACGUGAGCAACGUGCCCAGGACUCUGGAAUAACCGCGGGAAACCGUGGCUAAUACCGGAUAGGUGCCGAGGCCGCAUGGUCUUCGGUUGGAAAGUUUUUGCGGUUCUGGAUCGGCUCACGGCCUAUCAGCUUGUUGGUGGGGUAAUGGCCUACCAAGGCGACGACGGGUAGCCGGCCUGAGAGGGUGACCGGCCACACUGGGACUGAGACACGGCCCAGACUCCUACGGGAGGCAGCAGUGGGGAAUAUUGCACAAUGGGCGCAAGCCUGAUGCAGCAACGCCGCGUGGGGGAUGACGGCCUUCGGGUUGUAAACCUCUUUUAGUAGGGAAGAAGCGCAAGUGACGGUACCUGCAGAAAAAGCACCGGCUAACUACGUG
rnacentral:rRNA from 1 species